rnacentral:rRNA from 1 species
AUGAGAUCACUACUUUUGGAGGUGGCAAUCAGCAAAGUUUAUCCGGGCACCGUGCACAGGUGGUGCAAAUGGCAUGUGCUGAAGAAAGCGAAGGAGACACUGGGCCCUCUGUACACGAAGAAGAGUGAGUUCCAGGCUGAGUUCCACGAGGUUGUGAACCACAUGCUAACUGAAGACGAGUUUGAGACAACGUGGGAUAUGCUGUUAGAUAAGUACAAUCUGAGAAAGCACCCCUACAUGACCCAAAUAUAUGAAAUCAGAAAAAAAAAGUGGGCAAAACCAUAUUUCAAGGGUGUUUUCUGCGCCAAGAUGACGAGCACACAAUGCAGUAAGAGCGUUUCCCCAUGUUUGGCUUAUGACAGGGACAGAUCGAGCAUUUGCCGAAGAAGAUUGCUUACGAGAAAAUGA